GCGAGCGGCACCGCGCCUACAGCGUCGGCGCGCGCUGCCGGCCCGCGCACCACCACCCGCCGCACCCCAAGGCACCAGCAUCUGCUCCGCUGCUGCCGAGAGCGUCUGCUGAAGACCUAAUGGAACUGGACUUCUCAGCUAACUCGCCACAAGCCAAGGUGAUAGUGUCUCGAACGCCACCGACGGGCGGCUUCGAGGCGCGGCGGCCGAAUGUGGACGAGUACGUCGACAUGUCUCCGCGCAACGCCGCGCUGCUCCCGCGCCGCUCGCCGCCCGCGCCCGCGCAGGCCCCGCCUGUGCCAGAUGGAUAUGUGGAGAUGAACUACAC